UAAGCUAGAGGCUGAAGUUGUGUUCAGGAGCAGCAGGGCUGUUUUGACUAAGCCAUCUCAGCAAGGGCCCGGUCAUGGAGACUCCCAGCAUUUGUUAAAGAUUAACGGCCUAGUCCUGAUGUACUGAGCUCAGGUCAGGCAGAGUGCAGGGCUCGGACGUGAGGCGAGUUUCACCCUAUCUCUCCCAUCUGCAGCUCUCACACAGCAUAUUUACUAGUCCGGGUACAUGAGACACACUGAAUAAUGUGAUUAAAGGUUUUGGAGUUCGCUGAGGGGAGAUUGUACAGAAGUUGUCCCUUCAGGAGGCAGCCUUACCCUGUUUGUCAGACAGUCACCAAAGUCAUGCCACAGAGGCACUUAGAGCAUAUACCACAAAGUAAUAAGCAUAUCAAGAUUGUCCUUCCUACAUUAUAUGUUAAAGUUUCCUACUCUGCAGACCAUCUGCCACAUUUGCAUACCUUCUGUGUGUCAUGUUUUGGUUGGUUUCUAUUGCAUGGGAGUGUACUAUCAGAUGUGAACACUUCCAGUCAGAGUAUCUACGCUGAAUAAAGGAAUAACAAUGGCCCACAUGCUCUCAGCCUAUCAUUAGCCAAAAGACUAAAUGAAAACCAACUGUGUGGGAACAAUAAAAUAAUUUGUCAAGGGAGAAGGGUGCAGAUAAAUUCUGCAAAGCAUUUUCCAAUUGGCUGAGGCUCUGGUACGCUGGGCCAAGUGCUCAGCACCUGGCUGUCACGGCUCUGACGCUGCCUAAUUAAUUUCAACAUUUCAAACACAUGCCUAUUAGAUCACUGUCGAUACGAGCUAAAAGUGCCUGAUUAGGCUUUUUAUCGGUAUUAGUCAACAUGUGCUGUGAGCUGACUUUUUAAGGGCAAAAGUUAGAUAAACAGAAAGGAGAGAAGAGCGAAAUCUUGCUCUCCUCUACUCCCUAUAUCUGUCCACUAAAUCUGUGACUCAACUUCAGUGAGGACAUAAUGGGGAGAAAGCCAGGUACUCAUCCUAAAUAUUCUUGUCAAAAACUCCUGGUGAUAUAUAAGAGACAUUUCCUGCUACAGGAAGGUUUAUUGGUUACUGAAGCCGUGUGAACCCAUGUGUCUUGUCUGUGAGGAUCCAAGAAUCUCAGCAUAUCAGUUUUAAGCUGACAGCUGCGAGGGCCCAGUCAGCUCUCUGCCCCGCUCUGGCAGAGGCAGCACAGCGGCGGACGGCCGUCUUAACUGCCACAGUCAGAGUGGAGCGGAUUUUUCUUUGAUGAAACACAGCAGCAUCGAGCCAAGAACAGCAAGUGGCGCAGCCGAGAUGUAAAUCAAAAACCCACCCGUGUGCUAAGUCAUACACAGAAAGGUCUGCAAGAGGAGUCGCUGCUGUCUGAAAAUGCAUGAGUAAUACAGACUCUAUAGACGUGUGGUGAGCUGUGGCAUGUCUGUCCAGGCGAAAAGAAUCAGAGAAGUAGAGAAGUAUCUUUAUCUUUUGCUCCAAAUAGUUAAGGUAAAACAAAUCUGGUCUAAUUCACAAGACCUGGCAGCUAAUUCCCCUCAUCAGUGAAAGUGUAGUGUGUGAAACUUUGUGAGUACUUCUCAAGGCAAGGUUAAGGCUAAAAAUACAUUUUUAUGAUGACAUAUCUGAGCCAACUCUGCAGCUUUCUCUUGAUUAAACUGAGGCCCAGAGCACAUUUCUUCUGGUAUUCCAGUGAUAUUUCAACACUUACUCAAACCAGAUCAUAUUUUUACUGUGUGACUGGUUGGAUUCAUUGGCAGAAUGAAAGUCAGAAUGCCUUUGGUUGCAGUGAGAUGCCAUAGUCAUACCACACUGGUCACAUAAGAAUGAGAACAUUUGACCUGACUAACACUGACUAUGAAGAAGGAAAAGGACAACGGAGAGGCAGCAGUGCUAAAAUUCUGUCGUUUAUUUGUGGGUUCUGCACAUGCUCAUUUUGCAACUUCAGAGGACUAAUCAGAAGAAAGAGUCACAACCUCCCAUAAAGCUCCUUCUCUCUCUUUGAAUCCAACCUCAGUCAAGUUGAUGCAACACUCAUCUCUUCCUCUGCCACUUAUCUCCUGUUUCCACAGACGUCAUGUGUACUCCUGGCCAAGUUUGAUUGAGGUGAUUCAGCCAAGCAGAUGCCAGACCAGGGAUGUUCUCUCACUCUCCCUCUCUAGUGGCUGUGACUCAGGAAGCGCCCUCAUUCCAUUACCCAGCAUUCCCUCGUCAGCUUCUCAGCCAGACAGAGGUUUAUGGGAAUACCGCUGCAGAAUCAUCACCGGGCCUCAACUUUAUGAAUCAGUGGAACAUGCUGCAAACAUUACACCCUGCAACACCCUUCCCAGGCAGCACCCUCACAUUUGCCCAUAACUCACUGCUGAGCUCAUACAAGACGCAAAGACGUGGGCUGAGGCGCUCUCUUUGGCUUAUGGGAAUGUACUGACUGGUGAGAAAACUUGUGAAAAGAAUGUUACUAUCACUGUACUGCUUUGAUAUACAUUAUACAACUAUAGUUCCACACGAUUUAGAGGCACAAAUGCAGAAAGAGAGCAUGUCUGACUGUUUGUUAGUAAUGCCAAAAAAUGUACUAUAUAAUCUUUCUAUAUAUAUAUAAUUUAUAUAUAAUCUUACACCGUCUAUAUAAUCUUUUCACAAUUCGGUAAAAAAAAAAAUCUUGGUUAACCUCGGCCGUGAAACUAAGCGAACCACAAGUUCAAUAAAAGGUCAGAUCUCUUUUAGCAGCAGUGACGGCAAAAUGUUUCCUCUGAGGGUUCAUCAGUCUUUCACAACAUCUGGGAGGAAUAUCUGCUAUAACCUUGCCCGCUGCUACAACCUUUUGGUAUAUUGGCCGACAGUGAUGUUUAGAUCCUCAGUUACUCUGUCAAACCUAAACUGUACUUAAUAAAUAGAUAUUUUGGUGCUCAAUCUAACAUGUUCUCUUUUCCACAGAGAAAAGAUCAACAAAGGUGGCAGGGAUUCAGUGUUUUGCUAACAAUUUAGCAAGGAAAAAAAUAAUAUUUGCUUCAGGAUGAGAAAGGAAUGAUUAUAUUGUUAUAACAGGGACAAAUGUGAAUGUGAAAGUGGCACAAAACCAACAUUUUUAGAUGUUUGUGUAUCUGAGGAUUUGGAUAUCAGCAAUAAUUGAUUUUCAGCUUUGCUAGAGUACAAUACAAGAAUUAAAAUUUUUAAGAAAGACGAAAA